UACAGAGGGUGCAAGCGUUGUUCGGAAUUAUUGGGCGUAAAGCGCGUGUAGGCGGCUUUGUAAGUCGGGUGUGAAAUCCCUCAGCUUAACUGAGGAAGUGCGCCCGAAACUGCUUGGCUUGAGUGCCGGAGAGGAUGGCGGAAUUCCCAGUGUAGCGGUGAAAUGCGUAGAUAUUGGGAGGAACACCGGUGGCGAAGGCGACUCACUGGCCCGAUACUGACGCUGAGGCGCGAAAGCGUGGGGAGCAAACAGG
rnacentral:rRNA from 1 species